AUGCAAAUGCUAGUGGGGCGGACGGGUGCGCAGGGGGAAGGCAUGUUUUGCUGCCUGAAUUUUGGGAAGUCACACAGCAAAGAUGCAUCCGAGCCUGGCAUUGUCGCUCUGCCAAGGCACCCCUUGAUGGACGUGUUCCGAUCAGAGCUGUCUGCCCCACGGGAAAAGAAUCAGCUUUCUAUCAAGUGGACUCUGGGCAUCGCCCCAGAGAGCUGCAGCUCCAAAGGACCCGGAGAGACCCCCAGACGACCGAGAGGGGCUGACGUGGAGUGUCCCCCGCCUGGAUGGCAUCCCUGGAAAAGGCUGGAGUGUUUCUACAGAGGCUGUUCAGACAUCACAUCACAGUCCCAGACGGCCGAGAGGUUCUUGCACUCACUUGGCUGCCCUCCCUGGGAAAUGCUUUGGAUCAGACAGCACUUCUGGGUUGUUUUUGCCUGAGGAAAGUGGCUCACAGCAUCACCUUCACCCUUGCUCUGAGAAACCGUCAUGAAAUCAAUGCAGCUUUGGAAAGGAAGGAACGUGGCAAAUCCCUAAUCACACCUCACCUUUAAAUACGGUCUUUGACCAUAUUAGGACCAGAAUUUCAUAUAUGCUCCCUAAUUUAUUCUUUUCCUUCACAACUGAACACACAGGCGACUGGCUUGAAUCCAGGGCGCAUUUGAUCGAGGCUACAUAUUCCCCCACUUUCGGCACGCCUAAUGAUUUCCAUCUUUGUCUCAAUUGUGUUUACGAGACCUGCCCUUAUCGCCGGCAUCGGCGCUUCAUUUUUCCAUUUUCCACUCAUUCUUAUAAAAUAACAAGGUCAAAAUGCAAUACAAUAUUCAAAUACUUGUGCAAACACUGCUGAACAGCUAAAAGGGGAUGCUGCUGAGACCAAACUCUGGGCCACCAGGCAGCAUUUCCAUGCCAUGGCUUCAAAUGUCAGCUCACCUGCCAACCUGGGAGAGCUCAAAACCCACGGGUGGAGCCAGGGGUCGGGGUGGUGGUGGUGGCGUAGACCAACGUAGAGCGUGUAAAAAAGCGUGCGCCAAAGUGAACGGUACAAGGUGAAGGUCCCCCUCUGAAGCUCAGCGGAGUAUAAAUCCUGCCACCUCCAGCCAAGAGGCCCAGGCGCUACCAUGCAAAGGGGCUGUCGGUGACGGCUUUUCUCCAGGCGGGUUGUGUUGUCUCACAGACCUGCGCCAGUACACCUUCCAACGUCUCUGAGUCUGCAGGUGUGUGCGUGAAGGGAAGGGGGUUUAGGGACCACCAUCCUGUUUUCCUAAUCUGCACACUCAUCACAGAGGGAAGUCAAUUCUGGGUAACACUUUCCCAAACAACUCGGCUGCAGGCCGAUCUGCAGGCAGGGGGCCUGGGGGCUGUUAUCAUCUCCAGAGAUAGGGGGCUUACCGGCCAACAGAGUGGUGAAAGGACACUUAGUGUUGCUUGAAGACAUUCCUAAGAAGA
rnacentral:lncRNA from 1 species